AAAGAAGGGAGAUUUUAACUCCAACCGCUGGCUCCCAAAGCCGGCAUUCUAAAUUAAACUAUUCCUUGAA
rnacentral:tRNA from 5 species